rnacentral:lncRNA from 1 species
ACAUUAAGGUCUCACACUCUCACUCUCAGUUCUCAAUUCUCAAGUCUCAAGUCACAAAUCAAAAGCAAAAGAUGAUAACUAAAACAGCAUACAUUCAACAUGAUUUUAGUUCAGCCAUGAGUAGACGUGGAUGUCACUUUGUUGGUCGACUUGCACACUUGUUUGACUUGGCCGUGGAAGAAGCAACAACACCACCAUUGAACUUGCGCUUUCCCUUCACCUUGUCACCAAAUUCUUCAAUCAACUCUACAACAAGUCAAGUAUUCAAUCAAAUUUCAUAAUCUGCUAGCUAUGGUGAUAUACUGAUAGUGACAAAUGCAAUGUGAUUUUGUUGAGAUCUACUAGCCAGGUCUAGUUAAUGAAGAAGUUUGUCAAGUCAUGCAUAUAAAGUUCUCCAUACAUUGGUUUGGUACUGAUGCAUGUCAUGCAUAGUAAUAUCUCUAGAAUAAAAAACAAACGUAUUGACAAGUUGGCUGAUUGUUUUACCUUUUUCUAGCACUUCUUAUUCUUUCAAGUUCUCCUUGAUGUCGACCGG